UUGAAAAGAAAUUAAAAAUGUUAAAAACAGUAAGCCCCAUGUGAGUAUGCUCGUGGCAUAAAACCCAUAAGUACAUUCACUGUGGUGGGGUAAAAAUAAAAAUAUUCCUAUCCUAUAAAAAUAAAAAUAUAAAAUUAAAUUUAUGAUCCUACCAAAGAGAGUAAUAUUUAUUAGAGGAAGCUCAACAUGAUAACAGCUAAGAGAUUUUAUGCUAACACUUAACCAGUUCCAAAAAGCUUUGUUGUCUAUUUGAGCUCCACAUAAUUCAAGGAUCAAAGAAGACUAGCAGACGGAGGACAUCCUACAGCAGGUACUGCCGGCAUUCAAAUACACCUCCGCCACCUGCUAGCUACAUCAGAAGAAAUUACGUCAAAAUCGAGCUUGGGGGAGAGCACCUCCAUUUACUUAGCUAAGUGUUUCUACUCGCGUUUAUACUUUACUCAAAUAAUAAAAAGAUGCAUAAUCAUAAAAACCCAAAUAAAGAUUUUAUGCUUAUAUAUAUAUAUAUAUCUUUGCUUAGUUUGCUAAAUAAAUAAAGUUUGCUAUGAACCCUC
rnacentral:lncRNA from 1 species